AUGACGAAGUCAGAGUUAGUGAAGCGUUCAGAGGUUUUUGUACAGCUGCUCGCUUUGUUUCUAUCACUGUGGUUCACAUUCGGCACCGGCACGAGACUCGACGUUGGCAGUGUAAGUCGUCCUAAAGUGAUCGUCCUGUCGCCGUCCAGUGAAGAGAUUUCCAUCAAGAAGACAGCAACAGUGAUGUGUGUGGCCAGCAAUGGUUUCCCUUCAGACUGGAGUCUGAGCUGGAAAGUGAAUGGGAAGAUGUCAGGAUCUCAGGAGAACAGAGCUGGAGUCCUACAGAAAGACGGCGGUCUGUACAGCUGGAGCAGCAGUCUGACUCUCACUGAACAAGAAUGGAUCAACAGAGACUCAGUGAUCUGUGAGAUCAGUCGGGAAGGUCAGACAGUCACUGGAGAAGUGAAGAAAGAUCUGUGUUCUGAGUAG